UUUUUUUUUGUAUUUAACUACUGGUGCAGUUGUGAGCAAGCCAAAUGGUCCUAGUCCAAAUUCAGAGCAUGAGCAUUCAUGGAGGCACUUUAAUGAUGAUGAGUAUGCUUUGUGGUGUAUGAUGUUGCACUGGAUGUGGUGUUUUGUUUGCAAGGUUGUUCACGGCAAAAUUCAGGCUGCGCUUACUACCUCAAUUGAUGAUAGUCAAGCUGCCUUGCAGCCGUUUUGGGCAGCAAAACCCACGAGUGUCUCAUGGGGUUGAGGCUUGGUAAACGAAAAUGGUUUCCGCCGCGGGUGGGGAGGCUUCGGUGUGAUGUUGACGCGCUUUUUGAUCCACAUCGGCGACAGUAUGGUGUAGGAGUGGUGGUUAGAGAUCACCUAUGAUGGAGAUUAUGGCUGUAGUUGCCGGAAUUACAUGGUGCCUAGAAUAUGAUAUUCUUCCCAUAGAGUUGUUUACUAAAUCUAUGAUGGCGUCGAGGGUGAUGGCUUGCCCGGAUGAGGAGGGUCGUUUUUUGCCAGAUGACAUCUUAGAUAUUCUUGUUUUUGCUCGGUUGUCCAUGCUUAUUAGGGUGCGUUUUCUUUGGUUGUAAAUUUAUCAUGAGAAAACGAAGGAUAAACAAAAUUUCACCCUUUAAAUCAUUCAUUUCUUUUCCCUCAUUUCCUAUUUAACCUUUACUCAUUCCUCAUUUUCACUACAAAUGAGGGAUAAUAUUAUCACACCAUUUUUGGAGGGAUAAUGAUAUCCCUCAUUUUUAGUGUAAAGGGGGGAAUGAGUAAGGGUCAAAUAGGAAAUGAGGGAAAAGAAAGGAAGGAUUUAAAGGGUGAAAUUUUGUUUAUCAUUCAUUUUUCUAUGAUAAAUCUAUAACCAAAUAGAACGCACCCUUAGUGUUAAUCAUAUGUAUAGAGAGGCGAAUACUGUAGCUCAUAAUCUCGCACAAUUUGCGCGCUCUUGUCAGCAACUUGUUUGUUGGAUUGCUGAUUUUCCUCGAUGGUUUUAUGAUUUGCUGUCAACGGAUUAUUAAUAUAUGAGUUCGUCUUGGUUUUCAAAAAAAAGUUUCCUUCUCCUUAUUUAUUUAUCCGAUCAUCUUCUUCUUAUACUUUUUCAGGCAUCUUCCCUAUAUAUUUUUCAGGUGACUUUGGUGCUUCAUUUCCUUAUUCUAUUUAGGGUUCCGAAUAUACUUUUCAUAUCAUAUUUGGUGUUUAACUAGUCGAUUUUGUGUUUCUUCAUAUAUUUUUUUCCCAGAUCUUAUUGUGAUAUUUCAUUCAGUUUUGAGGAAGAGAAUUAUUUGUACUAUGCGUGUCAUGAUGCUGCAUGCCUGACUCGUUCCAAGGGAUGAACUAGUUUUUUAGACAAAUGAUACACAUGGACCCAUUUGUACCAUUCGUCCCUAGAGAUUCCGCCAGUUCUUGAGACGAAUGGUACGAAAAAAACUCCAUUUGUACCAAUCGUUUCAAGUGUUGCACGCUACCUCUUGGAACGAAUGAUACGAAAGAACCUUAUCCGUACCAAUCGUUCUAAGUGUUGUGCGCUACCUCUUGGGAUGAAUAGCACGAACAACCUCAUUUGUACCAGUCUUCUCAAGUUUUGUGCGCUACCUCUUGGAAAAAAUGGUACAAAGAUUUUUCUUUCGUACCAGUUAUCCCAAGUGUUGUGCGCUACCUUUUGAAUCGAAUGAUAUGAAAAAAAUCUAAUUUGUAUCAAUCGUUUCAAGUGUUUUUAAUGUGGAGCAGCUAGUGUUGCCAAGGGCCGACCGGAACCGGCGGUUCGACCCUGAACCGGCCCGGUGGUCAACGGUUNUUUUGAAUCGAAUGAUAUGAAAAAAAUCUAAUUUGUAUCAAUCGUUUCAAGUGUUUCUAAUGUGGAGCAGCAUGCGGUCGAUUAUUUGGCCGCUAGCGAUUGCGAAAUGAGUCGUUGUGGGAUGAAAAAGUUAUAUAUGUUCUCUUUAAGAUCUCAAAAGUAAAGGAAAUUCAUAUAAGCUUUUCAAUAUAUUUUCCAAUGAAGACUUUUCAUUCAUCUUUUUUAAACAUUGUCAAACGUGAAAUUUAUAUGACUUGGACAUCAAUUAUGAAUGAGAGGAUUUUAUCUCGUUUAAUUAAUUUUUUUUAAUAUUUAUAAAAAAUAUUAAAUUGAUCACAUUGAAUUCAAGAAAUAAUUUAUAUAACCUAAAUAUUUUAUUUUGCCAAAUUGUGGGAUGGUCAAAGUAAAUUAAUUCUAAGUAUUUAUUUAUGUUCUCCUUAAGAUCUCAAUAAGAAAUUUGUAUAAGUUUUUCAAAGGUGCAGUCAUGUGUAUGAAAUAAAAAUAAAGCAAAUUUAAGAAAAAUAAGAAUGGAGAGAUUAUAUCAUGCCACCUGGUAAAAAGAGAAUCAAUAUGGACGUUUAUAUAAUGAAUUACUCAAGAGUUUCAUGGUGUUUGAUCUAAAUUUCAAAACUUCUAAUUAAAUUCCUUUGUGAAUUUGGUUUUCUUGAGAUUUGGUACACAGACAGCGCCAUUGCUGAACUUAUUAUUUGUCAAUCACUAUAAACUAAGAAAUUGAUGCAAUUAAGCCAUACACAAAUACACCCUAGUAAAAGCAACACUUAACCGAGGUAGAAGUGAAACAAUUUUGUAUUUUAUUUUAAAGUUUAGAUAUAUAUACACAAUAUAUAGGUAGAGUGCUCUGUGCCGGACCUUAUUCCAUUUUGUAAGUUAAACGUUAGUUGAAAAACAGAAUCGAAUAUAAUUUUGUGUACGAAUUUCACUCAACAAAUCAUUCUUUUACAGAAAGAUGAUUUGUAAAAAAAUGACAAAUAUAGCUAAAAGAGUGCUCCAGCAUAACCAUUCAAAAAAACCAAAGGAAAAAAGCUAAAUCUCAUUCUCGCUGACAAUUUACAAGCCUCAAAUGGAAGAAGAAGAAGAAGAAAAACACACAUACAGAAUCUGUUAAUAACUAAGCCAAGCUAAAAUGCAAUCUCACAAGGAGCAUGAAAUGUUCUUCCACGGCAGAUGGCCUCAAGGUUUUCUCCAGCAUAUGAACACAGAGGCGAAACUUCCACGCCUAAUUCAUCAUUCAAACAAACACUUUUUAGCUUAUAAAACUGAGUCUAGUUUCUAAGUUGAGCAGUAAACUGUCAGUUAUAUAUAACAUACCAGUAGCAUAUAGGGGUACUGAAUGAGUCAAGAAGCCACCAGCAGCAACUACCCAACGAGUGUGCAGGCGAAGGACGAGCAGCCGGGCACUGUCUGGGGUGUCGAAAUUUGAUCCAUUGGCGUUUUUCACUGGCGCAAAUUCUUCUUCACGUAAUGCCUAUCCAGUGGAGGUUUAUCAAAGCUAUGUAUGGAUCCAUAUUCCCAACUAUAGUGCAUAUUUGAAGAGGACAAACGUUAAUUAUAUAGGAAAGAGUAGAGGUGUGUACCUCAAAAAGUGCUGUGGAAGGUGCAUAAGGAAAUGCGUCAAAUAUGAAUUGCUCCAGUUUGUAUCCCAUUGUGUGUCCGUGAAUUGAAGGGAUAUUCUUUUCUGCUAGAUGAUAACUGCACUCACGAAAAUAUGUAAACUAUAAUGAAUCCAGUGUGUGCAAAGUGAGAAUAAUAGUUGACAGUAAUAGUAUAUCAGUCAGCUGUUAGGGGCCUAAGUUAACAUGAGAUGGUGGCACAUACGCACACACACGAACAGACACAGAGACGAUACUGACAUGCUGUCUUUCUCAAGGCCAUUUGCUACUUGGUUCAGAAAGUCCAAGGUGAACAUGUGUAGGCAAACCUGAAAUGAGGAGGAUACAUAAGAAAAGGAAAUAAAAGUGAAAAGGUGCAUGUCAAAAUCAUUAUUCAUUUUAUAUCAGACAAUAAAGCAUGUCACCGGCAAGAGAAAAUAUCCACAUCCAUUAGCUAAAGGGCCAUGAACAAUUGCCUAAGAAGAAAGCUUAUUCAGGUGAGGAGAUUCUAGAAGUUCCAAACUAAAGCAGUUAAUAGAUUUAGUUCAUUCUUUCGUUUUUUUAAUCAACUAUCUCCUACCUAAUAGAUUCUGCAAGCACAAACUAGAAGAAGGUAAGCUCGGGAUGUUGAUAUGGGGAAGCUGAGUUUGAUUAUACAAAAGUUCAAACUUAUGCUCUUUCAUUUAUAUUAUUUCCCUACAAAUUUUAUUUCAAAAAUCAUAGAAAAAAAUGUGUGAUUUUAUUGUGAACAUGCAUCUCCGUAUUACACAACUUUUUGAGAAAUUUGUCAAAACCUUGAAUGCAUUUGACCUUCCGGAGCAUAAUGGCCCAUUGCAAUAUUCAAGGCAAACAAGUGGGGAACUAGGGAAGUUGAGAAAGAAAAGUAGGGUACGGGCAGUACAUUACUCCAGCAAUAGCGAAGGCGGCCAGUUUCCUGAUUGAUUGCACUAGCCAUUGAUGAGUCCAGUUCACUGUACUCAACCACAGAGACCGGUCCACCUUUCCCUCGGCGAACAAAUACACCAACCUUUUCUUGUGGGUACGCCUGCAAUCCAAUAAAUAACCAGGAAACAAUAAAUACAGUGUAUAGCAAUCACACUUUGAUUUUUGUCAUACAAAAUACUGAAAAUUACAUACCUUUCGGACAACCUUGGCAGCAGCUGCCACGCCUGUAUCAAUGAAAUAACCCAAGAAAGUUGGAUCUCCAACACGCACCUGUUUAGAAGACAUUCAAUUUUGGUUAUAUUUGGACUAUAUCUCAAAGUAAAUUCCACUUGGAAAUUAAAGAUGGACUAAAAGGAAAAAGUAACUAACCAGAGCAUUAUCAACUCCAUAACAGUCCAAGUAUUUUAUCCCUCUCGUAGCCAUAUCUUCCAACAAUUUUGACGAUUUUAAAGCUGCCAAUUUACUUUUUCUUGUUAGAUCAAUAUACAGUACAUCAUAUAAAGGGUUACAGCAAAAAAUACUGUAAAAUGCAUGCAGGUUUCUUAAUUUACUGUACCUGAAUACACUCCUCCGUUCCCAUCAGGAGACUUCGCAACCUGGCUUUAGAAAUUUAGAUGUUUUUAGGUAUAUACUUAUAAGCUGCAUAUAUCAUACAGAAAUGACAGCAAACACCAAAAGUAAGCACAAUUAUGAAGAUCAAACAUUAGCUGAAACACCACUCUAGAAUAUUUUCAUGUGUCUUUGCAAAGACAUCUUAAAAAUGUUGUUUAGCAAACAUAUUUUCAUGAAUACAAGUCUGAUGCCUACUUAAACUAAUCAUAAUAAGUAUUAUGUAGGUCAAAGCAGUACUUAUCAAGAAACAGUAAAGUCUGGAUGUAUGUUAAGGUAAUUGCCAGCGAAUCUUACUCUGUAUGGAGUUUCCAUUAUAAAUCUACCAUCUCUUGACACACAAGGAAUUGUCCCCUGCUGGAAGAACGUAACCUGUAGUCCAGUUUCACUGGUCAAUUGUUGUUCACAAUCCUAGAAAUCACAACUAGAUAGCCAGAAUUCUCUUACUUGAUCUGCUUCAAGACCAAAGUAUUUGUGGCUUUCGAAGAAUUUGCGGGUAGGUUCAUCAGUAAAUGGACUGGUCAUUAUGUACCAAUGUAUAGGUGGAAUAUUUGCACCUGCACACUUCAGAGUGAUCAAGGCUGCAGGUCAAACAAAUGAGAAGAGUUCAUGAUAUAGGAGGACUAACCUUCAUUGACAGAUUGAGCUGCCAAUCUUUGAAGACACAGAAUUCGCUCAGCUUGAAGUUGGAAAAGUGAUUUCCCAGAGGGAAGUCCAAUGUCUGAAAGGAUAAGAAUUUCAAUGAAAAGAAUAGUAAAUUUUCAAGGACAAGAAAUUAUGGUAAAACAGGACAUUUUCUAUUGCAUCAAACAAUUAAUGCAUCAUGAUAAUGACUAGUGCAAGAAGUAUAAGGAAUGUUGAACUGAAAAUUGAGUUUACAACUAACAAUAGAAAAUAUUAAAUAGUAGUAUUUUUUUUGUUAAUACCUCUGUAUUUAUUUUGUAUUUUCCAGUUGUUUUAUGCAGGCAAUCAAGGAAAUAACCACAUGAAACAAUGAGUGAUACACGAACAUCUUGUCAGGGACUCAGGAUACAUAUAAAUGAAAGUUUUCUUGUUUAAUUUUACUUUAGCACAUUUUAUUUAAAUAAAGCAAUGUCAACUAUACUUACUGAAGCACCCUUUUGGAUCUGAGCUUCCAAGGCGAGUUCCCUACAUUCAGAAGAUUUAAAUAUCAAAAGGGAAACGUCAAGAACCACUAAACAGCUAUGACCUAAAAUAUUACCAGAGAAGAGUAAAUUACAUGCAACAUAGCCCUGUAAUGGAAAAAAUCCAUGUAAUACAAACUUACAAGUGGACACACCAAUUUUACAUGACCCAGAAUGGCAUAUCUUACAUCUUAGUGACAUAUUAAGCAGUACAAUGCAUAGCGAACUAUUAAUCAAUGCUGAGCGAAGUUAAGUUAUCCUCUAUCAUGUUCAAUUAAGUCAUGCAUAGGUACUUACCUCCCAUAAAUCUGCAGCAAACACAUUUCAACUAAGGAUGUGAAAAUCAUGCAUGCCUUAUGAAGUACGAUAUCGACUAAGCAUACUUUUAUUAUCCUGAAUACCAAUAAGUCAAUAAUUGCAUAAUCAAAAGUCAUCGUGCACUAGCAUAAAAAAUGACAUUUCACCAAACUCUAUCACCAAAACAUCUUUUUCCACCUGUCAGCCAAUAAAAAUAUCCUCAGGUAGAGAUCUCUGUUCAAAGUGUUUGCCCUAUCUCUAAGAUUCAACCAAAACGAAACAAAUACAGAAACAAAAACAAAAAACAAAAUGAUCUUUCUGAUCAAUUAAUGGAUGGGGACUGAUCAAACAAACCUGUCCACCAGAUAAAAGUAACACGCCCAACUUUCCAUCUGAUAUGGCCUUCAAUCCCAUCUUCCACCACCGCUCUCUUUCUUCCAUUGUCCGCUUCUCCACCGUCGAAACAUUGCUCUCUGGAACUGGCUCUAUUGCUGCUGCAGGAAGCCCUACAUAAUCAAGCAAAUUCCCUUAAUUAUACCAUACACAAACAAUGUAUUUGCACAUGCAAAAUGGAAAGUGACGUUUAAGCCGAACCUUGAGAGCGAAACGAGCACCGAAUAAUCCGAUCAACUCUCGGAAGAUCUAAGCUCUGCAGCAAUACAAAAUUAACUUUAAGAUCCGAAAACAAACGGACACCUAAACAUCUCACAAAUAAACUAACCGGAAAAUCCAAGAAUUCUAUUCCUAAAACUAUCAAACAUCUCAAAAUUCAAACAUUACGUCAAACAACUAUAACACAACGGAAUAAAUUCAUCAUCUUCACAUAAACACCAGAACACAUGAAACUCGAAAUCUUUCCAUUUCACUAACUUGAGACGAUUUAAUGUGAUCGAACAGGAAAUCCGACACCACGAAACGCAAAUCACUUACUUAGAUUUCUUCCACACACAAAAAAAAGGAGCAACUGACCUCGAUAUCCUUGACGAGAAUGCCUCUCUCUUCGGGAGAGAGCUCGUCCCAGAGCGCAAAAACGUCUUCCUGUCCGUAAUCCUUAACCCUCUCGAGCAACGACUGCGGCGGCAGCGAAGGCGCAUUAAUUUCCGACGCCGGUUCCCUCAUCGCGUAAUUCCAAAAGCUUCUCUAGAUCUCCGCCAGAUCUAUAGGUUCAAUUGGCAGAAAAGAUAGAGCGAGAUUGAGUGUGUCUAUAUAAGAAAUUAGACAGACAGAGAGAGAAAGAGGGGAGAGAGAGUGUGUUGUUUCAGUUUGGUGGUUAAAUACGAGAGAGCAGCAGCAAGGAAGGAAGAAUCAGUUUGAAGGAGGCGAAAUGACGAAACUAACCCUUACAAGCGAGCCGCAUUACUGAAAAUCCGGCAAUUGGUCGAGGGUAAUUUAGGGAAUCACGUGCUACUUAAUCCCAUGUACCAAACAGUGAAGGAUUUGGGACACGAGUGGUUAUGUGGUUUAAUCAUCGACCUGCCUUUUUUUAUCAAUGUGUUUUUUCAUCGAUAAUUAUGCAAAAAAACUCUCAAAAUAUAUGCCUUUUUCCACUAAUCAUCGCUCUAAUCAUAGAGGGGCGAGCCUCCUAAAUUUUAUUAAAUACAAAAAAGCUGGUUUAGUACAAUUUCCCUUUCUUGUAUAUUAUCUGAAUUAUUAAUUAUAUCAAGUAUACUUUACUUUUAUUGUCAAAAAUCAAAAUGCAUAUAUAGAUUGCGACAAUUUAAUUUCAUCAUCUCUUUAAUAUUUCCAGAAAUUUGAUGGAUCAAUAUUUAAAGCACUAUCGUUGUUUAAUCUUGGAUACCAAAAUUUUACAAUUCGUGAAAAGGGUCAGGUGCAGUAUUAACACUUAUUUUAAUACAAUAGGAUGACAAAUAUAACUUUAUAUCUUGACGAUAUAAAAUAAAUUACAAAAAAGAAUUCAAACAGACUUCAACAGAUAAAUAAAAAAUAAUACAAAUAUCCCGCGGAUAUAUGUAAUAAAUUUUCAAUUCAAUUAUAUUUGGACUUCAACCAAAUGGAUGUUGAGAUAUUCUGCUAAUGUAUUUGCUAGUCUACCAACUAGAAUAUUACUCCGUGUUAUUAAUUUAAAUUGAUGUCGAUAAAUACGUAUAUUUUGGAAGUACCAAAAUAAGGAAUCGGAUCACCAAAUAAUAAAUAAAGUAGUCCCUAUAUAAAGAGUAGUAUCCAAGCAAGGUAUGAAGUAUGAAAACCAACAUGGAAAUCUGCCAUUAUUUAAUGUUGAAUUUUUCAAAUAAAAUUGAUACCAUUGUCUUCGCCACUGUUCAGUGAACAUAUAUAAUCGUGUAAAAUUUAUAAAUUCGAAUAAAAUUCAUAUUAUAUCCAACAACUGAAGACCAUCUAUAUUUUUCUUCUUGUUUGAUUUAAUAUAAGUAGAAAAUUCAAUGAAAUGCAACCAUACAUAAAUAAUAAUUUUAGGUGAGCUGGUAUGUUUGGUAAUCACCCGACAGUUGUUAUAAAGAUGUAAGCAUUGCACCUUAAUAAUUGCCUAAUAAAUUAAAACACAAUAAUAUUUUACAGUGCCUCAUCUUUAUGGCUUAUUGCGCUUAUUAUUGCAAAAUAAUUAUUCACGGUUAUUAUUAUUUAUUUAUGUGAUCGUGUUUCGGAUUCCACAAAUGUAUAUUAUAUUAUUAUAUUACUUGAUAAUAUUCUGACUUUCCAAAAGAAAAAAUAUUACUAGUAUAUUACAUUGAUCUACUGCAUUUAUUCAACUAGAAUUCUUCCAUUAAUGGCGAACAGAUAUAUUAAUAAGGUCUUCAUUAAAAGCCAAUUGAAAGAAAAAAUGUUUUUAGAAGCCAAUUAAUCAUGAUAAAUGUUGUUAUCUUUUUGCAAAUAUUGGAAAAAAUUGUAGUGAUUCUACUUUUUUCUUUGUUGUAUUAUAUGCUAAACACGUAAUCUAAAUUUGAUUUUUGUCGAUUUGCGCCGACAAAAUUAAAACUAGUUCCAUGGGUUUUUUAUUAUGCGAUUUUCCGCACUACGAUCGCUACCGACAACUAGAAGACCAAUUUUAUAUGCCAACUAAAAGAAAAAUAAAUGAAAAAAAAAAAAACUGUGUGAUUGAAAUCUUGGAAAAGAAUAGUGUGAUUAAUUCAACAAAACAGAAGAGCUAUAAUAAAACAGAUUCCAUAUAAUAAAAAUAAAUAAAUAAUGAAGGCUUAUAAUUUUAUAGUAUAUUGGAAAUGUUUAUAAUUAUUAAAUUAUAAUUUUAUUAAAAAAAAUUAAAAACCUUUGAAAGCACAAGCACGCGGACUAAGAAUCGAGUCUCAUAAAAUGUUAUCAAUUACUCCCUCCGUCCGCCAUAUUAUGUAAAAUUGCUUAGGCACAAGAUUUAAUAAAAUUUGUGAUGAUUUUGAUGUAGUGAAGAAAAUGUACCACUUUAUGAGAUGUGUGGUUGAAAUUGAAUUUGGGGUGGUUUUUUGUAAAUAAAGAGUGUUAGUAAGAUAAAAUAUAAGAGGAUGUGGGACCAUUGCCUUAAAAGGAAAGUGACAUAAUUUGCGGACGCCGAUAUAAUAAUUUUUAAUAAUCUUGGCGGACGGAGGAGUAUAAAUAUGGGAGUAUAAUAUAUACACGUACACAUAUUGCAAAUUUAUUAACUCAAAUUAGUUCAAUUUAACGACUCAUCUUUUUUUAUUUUUGUUAAAUAUCAAGAUAAAAGACUAUAUAAAAAUGAGUAUAAUACAAGAGGUACUCAACCCUUACAAGAGAAAAUGACAACAUUACAGACUAAAAAGAUUCCACUUUCUGCAAGAAAUAGGCAAGCAGACUUAAAUAGUAAAACUGAUGAGGAGUAAAAUAUGCGUAAGGGAAACCUGACACACAGAGUCGUCAGGCUGGGAACAAAGGUGGAAAAGAGCUAAUAGUGUUUUCGAGGAAAACAUGAGAGGCAGGAACUUCGGGCCAUUUCGAGAGGAUUUGAAGCCAUAGCGUAGGGCUGAUAUAACCCGAGAGAGGGAAGCAAGUUGAGAGUCAGAUCUGGAAUGAAGUGCGGAAGGGGCAACACCAAGACUCGAGCAGGGCUGACAUAGUCAGGAAGAAAGCUUCAGAGCUGCGGACGCCCGCAGCGCUGGGAAAGACUGAAGGCACAAUUGACUGACAACGACCUGGAAGAUUCUUCCUAACUGCCGGGGUCACUAUCAGCUGUGUAAUUCUGUUUACCCCUGUGUAGGCGUUAUAAAUAGAAGAUAUGUUGGUCAUUGUAAACACAUGCUAUUCAAACACUAAUAUGAUAGUUUCUCUAUCGCUUUAGCUGCUUCGUCUUUUUCUCUGAUUCACUAACACACUACAGUGAAUCAUUCUCCUCAUAAUUAAAGGGUGAAAUUAUGAACUCAUCAACUGGCGCGUCUGUGGAACGGAUCGGGUUUAAGACGUGAAGAAAUCUGUGCAUGAACUCUGCUCGACCGAAUUUCUUGGCAAAAGUUGAAUAUCGUUGUCGGGAAUUCGGGUGUGAAGGGCGUAUACGUUUGUUUAUGGAUAUUUUCGGGUGUUUUGAUCGGUUCCUGGUGGGGUGUUUAUCUGGGUUUUCCCAAUUUUGCAUGCGUCUUACAUGGUUUUAGAUUUGACGUAUUUGUUGUGUUCUUACGCUGAUUACUACGCUACUGUUCGUUUAGAUUCAUGUUUCAUUUGGUGGUAGGAGUCUCUUGAUCACAGAUCUAUGGAAUUUUUGAGAUUUGGGUUUCUGCCGCUUUAUUUGCGGUUGGGAUCAGCUAGAUUUAUCGGAUUUCUUGGAGAUUUCUUGCAUGAUCCCUGUAUCGAACGGGAAUUGGUCUUCUUGGGGGAGUUCUUCAUGGGAAUUAUAAUCCACUUUCUCUGCGGAUAAGAACACAUGUUAUCUAGGAAAUUUACCUUAUAUUAUUCUUUUUGGGAUUUCUAACUUUAUUUCUACAGGUCAUGGAGGACACAAACAUCAUCAAAAAUUUGAUGGGGAUUUCGGGGAGAGGGCAGGCUCUUGCUCCUGAUACGCUGCUACCGUGACUAAUGGGGAAUCCGGGUUGAAGACUUCACACCUACUGGUCCACUUAGGCCUGUACUGUCAGGACUGCAAGUGACUCCAACGGAACAGGGAUCGACUGCACAGGGAGCAGAUGGUUAAUGUCACCAUAACUGAACAAAUGCUGUCUUUUCUAGCUAGCCUCAUGAGACAGGUAUUGGGAACGUCUGCACCACCGCUAAACUUGGGGCUACCCGCGAUCACGGGGUUAGGGACUUCAGGCUCCGACUCAAACACUCCUGGGGAAUUACCAACUGGAAAUCCACCACCUUGGUAAAGAGCACGUCGUCGUUCCCCCGAAAGGAGCAGAAGAGGCCAGAACUGAAAAAGUCAGAGAUAUGCGUCGUCCGGGACCCUUGUUCUCGGGGGAUAUGGAGAAUAUUGAGGAUAUUGGAGACACUUCCAGUCAAACUAGACCUGUCAUAAAACGACGGGAGAAAGGCACAGCGCUGGAGGACACAGUCCAAUUACAAGAGAGGGUCUCGGCUAUGCAACGACACCCCCAGGCAUUGGAGAAAGUUAUUGAGGAAAAAGAGAAAGAGAAAAGCAGGGUUAUCUCACAAAAGAGGGACGAUAUGAGGAUUCUACCAUUUCCAGGGCUGAGAGUCACCGGGAUCGGCAUGAUCAUCGGGGGGAGAAAAACAAGCAUGCCAGCAAAGCUGGAGAAAGCAAGCGCAAAAAUACUAGUCAGCGCUUCCCGGGCGAAGGAAAUGGAGAAAGCCGUCGUCACCAGUGCUACCCUGAAACUGUGGCUAGGGCGGGGUCAAGUCCGUUUUAGGAGUACAUUCUGGCAGAUCUGUUGCCUCGUCACUACAAAUCCAUUAACAUGGAAUAUGACUGAGCUGAUGACCCGGAAGUACACAUGGCCAUAUUUGAAACCAUGAUCACGCUACAUCAGUACACGGAAGGGAUUAAGUGUAAAAUCUUCUCUACCACGUUAACUGGGAUGGCUCAGCAGUGGUUCCGGGCUCUGGAGCCUGAUUCUAUUCACUCUUUUGAAUAGUUGCAUGAUGCCUUCAUGUGUCAAUUCACAAGCUCUAAGCGUGCCGCGAAAACUGCCAUGUCAUCGAUUGAGACUCUAAAGGAGUUUGCCGCGCGUUUUACCAAGGCAUCGCUGGAGGUACCCAAAGUUGAAUCUCAGAUUAAGGGCUAUGCCUUUGUACGUGGCUUAAGACCUGGGGCUUUCUUCGACAAUCUACAAGUAAAACAACCACGAGAUUUUGAAGACAUUUUAGCCCGACUUCUAGGGUAUAUACAGUUGGAGGAAGCCAGAGCUGCUCGAAAGACAGAAUAUAGUGGCAAUAAGCCCAAGAAGGUGGAGGACAGAGCUGAAACGUCAGACGCUUGUCCUCAGGGGAGAGCACCAUACCGGGGACUGCCACCCCGAGUGCUACCAGGGGAAUCGCAGCCGGCAUACCAGCCCGCUCGUAAUGAGCAAAGGUUCAGAGGAGUGAAUAAUGUUAACCGACUUACUAAUCAAAUCCCGCUGAAUAAACUUCAGGAGGAGAUUUUUCAUUUAAUCAAGAAUGAACCAUGGUUCAGGGCUCCGCGAGACUUUGUUACAGGGGCUCCCAAGCCAGGACCAAAUGGACUGCUAUGUCAAUACCAUAAUCAUUAUGGACACCCUACAGACUAUUGUGGGCAUCUGCGUAAUCAAUUGGAAAUAUUGGUGAGACAGGGAAAGCUCGAUCAAUUCGUGAAACAAACACCACCCUCACACUUGCAGGACAACAAUUAUAAUCCCAGAGCUAUGAGGGAACAAGGGAAUCAAGGGGAUGAUCGCAGGGCUGCAUCGCCCCGCGAGGACUACAGGGAUUUAAAUGUCGUUUGCCCAAAGGAUUGUUACCCUUUACCUCGUAUCGAUCAGUUAGUCGAUUCAACCGUUAAAUGUGAUCUGUUGUCCAUGAUGGACGCUUUUCAGGGCUACCACCAAAUCAGCAUGCAUCCAGAUGAUAUAGCAAAGAUAGCCUUUGCAGUAUGCUACGGGGUUUUCGGGUUCGCAAGAAUGCCAUUUGGGCUUAAGAACGCCGGAGCUACGUAUCAGCGCAUGAUGGAUAUGAUUUUCCAAAAUCAAAUCGGGCGCAUCAUGUUAGUAUAUGGGGAUGAUAUGAUGGUGCAAAGCAGGGCUGCCACUUCUCAUCCAUCAGACUUGGAAGAGGUGUUCAGGGUUAUCCGACAGAACAGACUACUGCUGAACUCAAAGAAAUGCACAUUCGGUGUCAGAACUGGAAAAUUUCUGGGCUAUCGAGUGACUCCGCAGGGCAUUGAGGUAAACAAGGAUAAAGUACAGGCUAUCGUGAACAUAACACCACCCAGAAAUGUCAAAGAGGUGCAAACAUUAAAUGGGAGACUCACGGUACUUGGGCGAUUUAUCUCUCGAUUGGCGGAUCGGAGUUUACCUUUAAAAUAAAAUUUUGAGGAAAUGAACAAAGUUCGAGUGGACUCAAAAUUGCCAACAAGCUUUUGAGUAGUUAAAACAAUAUCUAGCGGAACUUCUAGUACUGACCAAGCCGAGAGCUGGGGAAAUCUUAUACUUAUACAUAGCAGUGGGAACGGAAUCCUUAGGGUCGAUUUUUAUCAGGGAAGAGCGGGGGCAGCAGAUGCCAAUUUAUUUUGUAAGUAAAAUGUUACAGGGGGCGGAGCUGAACUAUUCUGAGAAUGAAAGGGCAGCGCUGAUUGUGUUGAUAACGGCUCGCCGAUUACGCUCGUAUUUUCUGGCGCAUAAGAUCAUCGUGCGAACGUCGUUGCCAUUCAAACAAACUUUAGGGCGACCAGAUCUGUCGAGGAGAAUGGUGAAAUGGGCAAUCGAGUUGAGUGAGUACGACGUGGAUUUUGAACCACGGACUGCAUCAAAGCGCAAGCCUUGGCAGAUUUUAUACAAGAGACUACCAGGGCUGAGAAGCAAAAGCCCUGGAGGGCAUUUGUCGAUGGCUCUGUCACCAAGGAGGGCUGUGGAAUGGGCAUCUAUAUUCAGUCCCCCACGGACGACGACUUACAAUUUGCCAUUAAAUAUGAACAUCGCCUAUCUAAUAACGAAGCCGAGUAUGAGGCUGUGGUCAGAGCUUUGAGGAUUUUGUCGGAACUGGGUGUUGAGUCAGUGCAUUUGAAAUCUGAUUCGCAAUUAGUAAUACAGUAGUUAUUGGGUGAGUACGAUAUCAGGAUAAGCCGAAUGGUCGCGUACCAUGUAAGAGCCAGGGAAUUGAUCUCCAAAUUCCAAGACUACCUCAUUGAACAAAUACCACGAGAGCAAAACAACAGAGCUGAUCUACUGGCACGAAUGGCUAGCGCGGUCGAACAUAGUUGGACAAAUUCUGUGACCUUGCUUUUUGAGCCUGACACAGAGGGCAAACAGGGUGUCUUCAGCAUGGGAAUGAGGGAGGAUUGGUGAAUACCUAUAAUCCACUUCUUGCGGACAGGGAAACAGUUUGACUCAGUUAUUUCUUAGCGCUGCCUCUAUGGCAGGUAUUGUAUUAUCAAUGAUCAGCUGUACAAGAGGUCCUUCACUCAUCCUUUGCUGAAAUUUUUAUCUAUAGAAGAAGCGCAAUUCGCUCUUGGGAAAAUUCACCAGGGUUGCUGCGGGAACCACGCCGGGUAUAAGGAUUUGAUGAGAAAAAUUAUCAGGGCUGGGUUUUACUGGCCUACAAUGGCGGAAGAUGCCAAACAAUUUGUCAAGAAAUGUGAGAUCUGCCAAAAGUAUGCCCCGUGCAUUAAUAUCCCAGGGAAAACCAUGGGUACAAUGUACGCCACUUGUCCUUUUGACAAGUGGGGAAUUGAUAUUGUGGGGAAGCUCGCUACAGCUCCGGGAGAAAAGUGUUUCCUCAUAGUGGCAGUGGACUACUUUUCCAAGUGGGUAGAGGCAGAGGCGGUAACGAAGAUAGAUGAAUUUACCAUUGAGAGGUUCCUAUGGCGUAACAUUUGCUGUAGAUAUGGAUCACCGAGAGUACUCGUCACUGAUAAUGGGACGCAGUUCACUGGGAAACAGAUAGAGGAUUUUUAUCACAGAAUGGACAUCAUACAACGCUUCGUAUCUGUAGCUCAUCCACAUGCUAAUGGCCAGGUGGAACUUACUAAUCGCACAAUAUGUGAAGAGCUGAAGAAACGGUUGGAAAAUAGUAAGGGCAGAUGGGCGAAAGAGCUGGACGGGGUCCUUUGGGCUCAUCGUACUAGUCCAAAAAUAGCUACGGGGGAAACACCAUUUACACUUGUAUAUGGUUCCAAUGCUGUAAUACCAGCUGAAGUACGCCUGGCAUCACACAUGGUCUUGCAUUAUGAUCCCAUACAGAAUGAUGAGCUCCGGCGCUUAGACCUGGAUUUCAUAGAGCUGAGCAGAGACGUAGCUAUUCUCAGGGCUGAAAAAUAUAAAAGCAUCAUCAAAGCAAGGUUCGAUAAAAAAGUGGCAGUCAGGAAAUUUAACAAGGGCGAUCUGGUAUUGAAGCGGACGAACACACUGCAUCCAGCCAAGAAAUUUGAUCCUAAUUGGGAAGGCCCCUUUAUGGUAAAAGAGGUGCAGAGCGGUGGAGCAUAUCAUUUGUCUGACAAUGAAGAGAGGCCUCUUACUCGGCCUUGGAACAUCAAUCAUGUAAAGAAGUUCUAUGCUUGAAAGAUCCACAAUUUGAAUCAAUCUUUGUAGACCAAAUACUAUUUUUUCCUACAGGGGUUUUAAUGAGGUUUUGGACCAAGUUUCUUUAAUAAAAUGAGAUUCUUGGUUUUAGGGUAAUUACCCGUGUCUGACAGCAUUUCAGAUUUUUACGGCAUUACUUAUCUUUAGCUAAUCAAGAAUUGUAGGGUUGAAAAAUAAUCGUGCUUGACUUCUAAAGUACUCACACGACACUUGGGGGAGUAGGGGUGUAUACCCCAUAUAUGCCCACUACACCGCGAUACGUAUCCUAUUUUUUAGGGUUAGAAAAUUUAAAAUUUUAGAAUGUCGCCUAAGUUCGAGCUCCUAGAGUUAGCUUAGCGCGGGCAGCUGCCUACACCAGAUCCUAAUGCUGGUAGUAGCGUGAGCACAUAGGACCUAGAAGUUGUCUAAGUUCAAGCUCCCAGAACUGCCUUAGCGUGGGCAUUAAGUGGGAGAAAAUUUUAGAAUAUCGCCUAAGUUCGAACUUCCAGAGCUGGCUCAGCGUGGGCAGCUGCCUACACCGGAUCCCAAUGCUGGUAGUAGCACGAGCACAUAGGACCUAGAAGUCGCCUAAGCGCGAGCUCCCACGGCUGCCUUAGCGAGGCAUUAAGUNNNNNNNNNNNNNNNNNNNNAAAAAUCGCCGAAGUUCGAACUUCCAGAGCUGACUUUAAGCGGGCAUCCGAAAGGGUCAAAAUUUUAAAGAUCGCCUAAGUCCAAGCUCCCAGAGCUGGCUUAGUGCGAGCACUGAGAAAGUCAAUGUAAUAGCGUACAAGUUUAAGUUCUCAAAGGCUGGCCUAACAUAAGCACUCGUUUAAAAUGGAAAAAUGAUAGAAACAAGGAGAAGUGAAAUAAAUUUAUCACCAACAACCAGUUUAUAGUAAUAAGUAAACUAAAAAUAGCGAAAGAGUUAAGAAAUUCUCAUGGAAUAACAGGUUUUGUACAUAUACAAAAUCAAAAGGAAAAUUACAAGCAUCGAGGUAUAUUUGAUCCUAUCUAGGGAGGAGGAACUUCAGGCUGAGAGGAAGCCGAAAUAGGCACAGAGGCAGGGUCGGAAGGUCCAGAGCUAGGGACAGAAGGAGAGGGACUCUCAGCAAAGAUGGGCAGGGUCCUCGCUGGGUCGACGUCGGGGAAGGGGUCAGGAUCUCUAGAAAGGUCCCCAACCAGGGAACGGGUAAAAUUAGCUUCAUCCUUGUAGAGUUUAGCCAACUCCGCAAGAACAUUUUCCCAAGAAGAAGGAAGGUCAGCCAAGUCAGAAGCCACUGGUUGGGGAGGAUAUAGCCCGAACUCAGCAAAGAACCAAGCCGCAACCCUAUCCCCAGACAGAUCUUGUACAAACUCUCGAAGAAUUUAGAGGAAAGGGCUGGAAAAAAUGGGUGCCUCUGGAAUAUCCUCAGAGCAGAGUCCCACCGUGAACUGUUGAAGGGCCCGGUCCAGCGCUGGGUACCAUUAUUCAGAGUUGGCAGGGGCCUUAGGAUUAUACCCAGCUUUACGCAUAGGGUAUUGUUGUCUAGGGACCUCAUCAAGGCCCUCAAAUCCAGCUUUGCCACUUGCUCGGAGGUGGCCCUGGUCAUCUCCGCCCCUUUGCGGCCAAUCUCCAUGAUCAUGUAAGCCAGGGCAGGAAUGAGCUACCGAAGGAAGUCGGGAGUUUUGCAAAAAGCCUCCACCGUUCCCUCGAAAAGGAUCUUGAGGAAUUGAUGACCCUGAGGAGACAGGAAGAACUCCAGUUGUUUGUCGCGGGCCCAAAAGAUAUACCCCUCUCGGUGGGCUCUGAUGCGGGUCUCCCUCCACCGCCUCUUGGACUCGUCGUAUUCGUUGGAGUAGCGUUCUUUGAAUUUAUAACCUAGCUCGUGAGUCUCUCGCUUGGCCUUUUGAAGGGCAGACUCCAAGGAGUUCCUCUCAACCUCCAGUUCUGCCAGCCUGGUCUGAGCACGGGUUAGCUCUGCCUCUGCCUCGCUGAGGCGAGAAGCUGCUUGGGAGGCUUCUUUCUCCUUAAGGACUAGGGCAGAUCUGGCCUCAUCCAAGUUCCCCUCCACUUCAUCGAAAAGUUCCACCUGGCGCAGGGCCCCUGCCUUAUGGGCCUCUUCCUGGGGAUUCACAGAGGGUUAGUACAGUAAUAAGAGGAAGGACACAAAGACACCAAGGAAGGGAGAAAGUGUAUCGUCAUGUAAGCGUGGCUCAACGAUUCAGCCAGCGCCUUACCAGAGAACUCGCGAGCGAUGGCUCGAUCAUCCGGGUGAACCCGGGCCAACAUUUGUUCGUAGAAUUCCCGCCCCUCCAUGGUGGAGACGGGACUGAUCAACAGGGUAGUCCGGUCCUCGGGACCACCUCCUGGCAGCUCUGGCUCCUGGGCAGCAGCUUUGCUCAGACGAAUCGCCCUUCUCUUAAGGGGCGAGGGACUCCACUCUCUCUUUGGAGAUGUCCAUCUUCUUUCUCUUCGGAGCUGUCUUGGCCACCCCCGGGCGGAGGGUAUACACCGGCUCCACAUCAAGGAUCUCUAUAUCCUCAUCAACCUGUUCUUCCUCCUCCUCGUCCCUCAGCCCUGUGUGGACGGAGGAGACAUGUGUGAUUUGCUGCAAGACUGGACUAGGGCGGCGCGGACCGGGGUGGAGGACGUGUAGGAAAUCGGAAUUGAGGAUACGCCCUCAGUCAAGGGAAUGUCAAUGGAGGGGGGAUCUACGUCGGGCCCCUGAACUCUUGAGUGUCACUGACCGUCUUAGACGUGUCAGCGUUAGAAGGAUCAGCCCGAGGAGUGUCAUCUCUGGCCUCGUCCUUGGCUGUCGGGGCUGGGAGAAGGCCCUCGCAAUCCGCCAUCCAAUCCAUCUCUGAAAUAAGUAAGUGGCGAGUUAACAUCAAACAUGUCUUAUCAACACGUAUACAAAAAAAAAACAAAUUUAUUCUUGAAAUGGAGAAAUGGGAGAACAACCCGUUUGCUGCCAGCGUUGAGUUAUUUUGUACUAAGCGCCAGAAAGGGAAAGGCUGAGAAAAGUGAAAGGUGUUGAGCUGAUUAAAAAUGGCUAAGUUCUGAUCAGAGGGAGGGGGUAGAGAGCGGAGCGGCUGGGUAUGCCUCUCUAGGUGCCAGAUCACGUUAGUGACCUUAGCAAAGGCGCGCUGGAUUCCCUUAUCGGUGAGAACUAUACACUACUUAUUUACAAAAAAUUUAUAUGUGGAGGGCAGCUUACUCAUAAAGAUGGUUUUAUAUUUUUUGUUGGUGGAGAAGCUGUAAUGAGUGUUGGUUUUCUUGAGGAUCUGGGUCUGACAGAACAACUCUACCGUGUAUUGGCAACCAUGAUAUCUCAUUAAGAUAUGGAAAAAGAAGGAUUUUCGCGGAGGUGAAGGGGCGAGUUAGUAGAAGGGGAUACGAAAGUAGUUACAAACCUCUACGGGAGAUGGGUGGGGGUAAGCGCAGCCCUGCUGCUCCCAAAGAGCGAUACUGUUCUCUCGUAAAUCAAAGGGACCUUCGAGAGAUUUAUUAUCAUGGAGGCGGAAGGUCAAGCCAGGGAUAGGUCCCUGUAAGGCUUUUUCCAGUCUUUUCAUUUCUCUCACGGUCAUAAUCGAAGAGGGGACAGAGUAGGAAGACAUCUCUACGGCUUCUACGAUGAUUCUACUUACAACUUUUCUAGAAAUAGAAGGGACGAUAGAGGUUUUUUUAUAGACGCAUAACCCAAGGGAGAGAAGAAUGGAAAUAAUACCUAAGUUUGGCCGCAGGAAAGCGAAGGGAAUAAGCAAGGUCCGGAAGACAUCGAGGAAUCAUCGGGUGAACGGCGGAAGCAUACAACGAUCGGAAACUGCAGAGGAAGAUUGAAGGUGCCGAAAAUGAAGAAUGGGGAGGACGAAGGGCCUUUUAUACUUUGGGGGCGGCGCGGAGCACAAGGGUUCCACUGGUCCAAUCCAAGAGUGAUACGUAGCGUUUUCAAACGGGGGUUGCAACUGAAGAUGCGCUUUUUUCUGGAAAGAUGAGAGGUUAUUGGACGGGCCGGGGUCCACCUAAUAGACGAGCAUUUAAUGCCCGACAGAGGGAAAAGGACCGCACUGAAAACAAAUGGAAGUAAUGGAAGAGCUGAUUGAGCGUAAAUAACAAGAACGCUCAAUUAGACUGGGGGAAGAGUAGUUGAUGAGGUGUAAAAUAUGCGUAAGGGAAACCUGACAUCACAUGAGUCGUCAGCGCUGGGAACAAAGGUCGGGAAAAGAGUCUAAAUAGUGUUUUCGGAGGAAAACAUGAGAGGUAGGACCUUCGGGGCUAUUUCGAGAAGAUUUGAACGCUAUAGGCGUAAGGGCUGAUAUAACCCGAGAUGAGGGAAGCAAGUUAGAGAGUCAGAUUUGGAAUGAAGUGCGGAAGGGGCAACACCAAGACUCGAGCAGGGCUGACAUAGUCAGGAAGAAAGCUUGACUGACAACGACCUGGAAGAUUCUUCCUAACCGUCGGGGUCACUAUCAGUUGUAUAAUUACUAGUUUACCCCUGUCGUAUGCGUCUAUAAAUAGAAGAUAUGUUGGUCAUUGUAAACACAUGCUAUUCAAACACUAAUACGAUAGUUUCUCUUUCGCUUUAGCCGCUCUCGUCUUUUUCUCUCGAUUCACUAACACACUACAUGUGAAUCAUUCUCCUUAUAAUUAAAGGGUGAAAUUAUCAAACUCAUCAAAAACGAAAAAGAAAGUUUGCACGUAGCCAUCUCCAAGAGUUAAUCUUCACACCUUCCACGAUCUUAUUGAUAUUCAUAUUAAUAAGUUCGUUUCUCACAUUCCAUAUCCUCGAGACAGCAUUGCCAAAUUAGAUUGAGUACUUUUUUCUCAACCUUUCCUUGUCCUUCCAUAAUGAAGCGGCCAAAAUGUUUGCACAAAUCCGAAGAUAUGAUCCGAGCACAAUUUAGCCAUGUACUCACCAAUGUCCAGACUUGAGUCUGAAAUUAGCAUUCAAGCAUCAUAUAGAUGACGAAUUUCAGGGAUUCCUAAGCAAAUGACGUAGGAUGAAUCUUCAGCACCAGACAAGAUGUUUAUUUUGAUCAAGUUAUCUUUAGUAGGAAUCAUAUCUUGAAGAAGUUUCCAAUAAAAAGCAAACACCUUUAUUGGGAUUGAUUUCCAUCUCAUCUUUGGGAGUAAUAAGAUUGAGACAUCGGUCAGGGCACCUAAAAUAAAAGAAUCAUACAUUAAACUAGUUGAGAAGAGUCCGUUCGUAGAUCAUUUCUACCGCCAAAAGUCAAGCUUAGAAGAUGAAAAUUUGAACCUACAAAUACAAUUCCAAAGAUCCAAAAACUUCUACAGAUCGUUAGCAUUAAAAACACGCCUCUGUCUAAAGGACCAAGACCAAGAGUGACCAAGAACAUCCCUACAUCUCUAACUAACCAUUUUUUGAUAAGAUAACUGAUAACGAGAAGAGAAUUUCCCAAAAUCUGGCACGACUACUAUUUCAUAUCAUAAAAAAUAGAUUAUUGCAAAAGAUCUUACCAUCAACCCCGUUAACUAAAUCAAGCAAAUCACGUCACCAAAGUGACAUUUUUCGUCUAGUGAGACUGUUAGAGUAUCUACAAAGCAAAUGCUCGCAUCUAGAUUUAAGAAUUCUCACACAAAGUGACGCUUCCUCUCUCAACCAUCGCUGUGAUAUCCCGACCUUUUUAUAGGAAAUAUAGAAAACCUUAAAUUAGUAUACUAUUGAUACACGCCCGAUUUUUAAUAAAUUAUAAUAUUUCAAGGAGAUUUUUAAAUUCAUUAUUGUUAGUUUUAUCAAAGGCCUUGAAUUUAUUAUUAAAUUACAUGAGAAAUGUUCUUACUAUUAUUUUUAUUAUUAUUAUUUAUUUAAUUAGUCAUCUACUUUUAUGUUAGGCCUCAAGCCCAAAGAUACUUCUUUUAAGUUAUUUUCUUUAGGGCCCAAACCCAAAUGCAUAAGAUAUGUUUGUAUAAUGGGGUGAGAGCUGAGAUGUACUAGUUCCAUUGUACUAGUGUACUGUCAUUGUACUAUCUAUUUUCCUUUGCAUAAUCUCCUAAUCGACAUACUGCUCUGCAAAUCCUUUUCCAUCUCUUUUCAUUUUUCAAAAUCACAUUUUUCCUCUAUCAUUUUACCAGCAACAACAGUCAAGCUCAGAAAUAUUCUGCAAAACAACCAUGAAAACACAGAAAACUUGAACAUUCCUAGAGCUCAGACCAAUUCUUCUUUAAAACCAAGAAUGAGAAAAAGAAAGAUCAGUUACAAAACAAAACCAAUACGACAUCUUUCAUCAAUAACUUCAGAACUCCAAUCAACCAAAAAAUCAAAUCUUUUUACAUCUGAAAUCUGAACCCUUCUUGCUAGCCUUCGGAGAGGGUGAGAGUCGAGAAGGUGAUAGGAAAGGGAGGCUGUCCGAGCUUGACGCCGGGCUGUCAAGGCCGCGGCUGCCGGCGCUGCAUGCGGGCAGCAGUCUGCCGGCCACUCGCGGCCAAGACAGACGGAGUCGGAGCGAGGCGGUGUCGUGGGCGAGGCCGGGGCGGCGUGGCCGAAGGCCAAGCGCCGCUGACGCGGCACGAACGGAGUAGCAGCGGCGGGGGCCCUCCUUUGCCGUCAGCUGCCGGAAACGCGAGGAAAGGCGAUGGGUGAAGGAGGCCUCAGAUCCGGCAUUUCCCGCCGGGGUUGUUAGCGGCGGCGGCGGUGAAAAUUUAGGGAGGAAGAGAGAGGGGCGGUGAGAGUGGAGAGAAGGGGAAGGGGAAACGAUUUUGGGUGAGAAAAAGAGAGCCACGCGCGUGAAUGAGAGGUCGCCGUGCGGGGGAGCGCGGCUGCCGGCAACUUUCGGCGGAGCUGAAGCAGACGGCGGCGGCGGAUCUGUUUGAGGGAGGGGAGAAGAGGUGAUGGGUGAGAGAGAGAGAAAAUGGGAGUUAUAGAGAGAGAGAGAGACCGUAGAAGGGGAGAGGUGAGAAGAGAGAGAUAUAAGUUGUUUUAAUUGUUCUAUUAUUUUAGGGUAAGUUUUGAUUUUUAUUUUGAGCCUCACUAAUUAUUUUAGUAUGGACAGAUUUUAUUAAAUGAAUGGGCCUAUUGCUAUCAUUCUGAGUGGGCUGAUUUUAUUGAUUUAAAUGAGCUUGUUGCUUUCAAUAUUAUAAUUGAGCUGUAUUAUUUAUAGCAAGUCUUUAAAUUAUUUUUCUUGGACUUUAACUAUUAGUUUGAGCCUGAAAAUGUUUUAAUAAGAAUUAUUAAUUUUUCUUCCAAGAGUAAGGUUCUAUAUUUUUAAAUUAUUAACUAUUUUAUAAGUUUUAAAUCUAUUAUUAAUCAUAUUUAUUAAGUUAUUAAUUAUGUAUUAAAAGUUUAUGGAUUCGCUCAAAGAGAUUAUUAAUUCGGGCAAAGUGUAUCAAUAGUUUGUGAUUUUCCUCUUUGUAUUUAGAAGUUAGAAUAGCACCAAGAGACCUAUUAAGAAUAGAUUUUUUUGUAGGCUUUGAGGAUCAGGAGGAUUAGCACUGCUUUCCCGUGACAGGUUUACGAUUAAACUACAGGCUUUGCCUAUUCAGGUGGGCUUUAUUUUACAUACAAUGUAUCUUGAGUUAUAUAAGCUCUGAUAUUUCAUGAAAGUUACUCGUUUAUCCAAUAUAAAUGUUUUUAUGUGCGUUCUGUAAUUGUUUAAGGCUCACUUAAGUAUCGAUCGAGAUUCUCAUUUGGCCUAACACGCUAAAUGAGGAUUGUGUACACAUGGUUAGUGGCUCGAUGGGUUGAUCACCAUCGUGCACUAACAGAUUUAGAACGUUAUAAGGGUGGGUGCUUGACAGGAGGUUAUCCGGAGCACAGUUAAGGUUAUUGAUUCCGACCGGGUGCGUCCCGAGAUCAAUAACAGAUUUUGGAUCUGACUGGGUGCGUCCCGAGAUCAGUGAAUGUGGGGAGAAAGUGAGUAACAAUCGAACGUACAUGGCGCGCCACUUAAUGAAGAAAAGUUUUGUCAUGCUUAGAAGUGGGAUUCCGUUUUAAAACCUUCUAAGUCAUGAUUGUGAUAUUGGAUAAACUGCUUCGAUUACUUCAUAAAAUAUUUCAGAAACUUGUGCCCACUGAGUACAUUAGUACUCAGCCCAAAUUAUUUUCAAAUGUUUUCAGGUUGAUCAGUUGGUGCAGACGAGGCUGAGCUGAGGCUAAGGUUCCACGAUGUCUUUUGCUUCCGCUAAUAACUAUCUUGUCACCUCACCCUCCAUCCCCUAAAUUGAGAAUUUCUAUUAUGUGGUACAAUAUUAUCUUGUUG
rnacentral:lncRNA from 1 species